AACGAACGCUGGCGGCAGGCCUAACACAUGCAAGUCGAACGCUUCAGCAAUGGAGAGUGGCAGACGGGUGAGUAACACGUGGGAACCUUCCCUAUGGUUCGGAAUAGCCCAGGGAAACUUGGGGUAAUACCGGAUAAGCCCUUCGGGGAAGGAUUUAUCGCCAUUGGAUGGGCCCGCGUCGGAUUAGCUAGUUGGUGGGGUAACGGCCUACCAAGGCGACGAUCCGUAGCUGGUCUGAGAGGANGAUCAGCCACACUGGGACUGAGACACGGCCCAGACUCCUACGGGAGGCAGCAGUGGGGAAUAUUGGACAAUGGGCGCAAGCCUGAUCCAGCCAUGCCGCGUGAGUGACGAAGGUCUUUCGGAUUGUAAAGCUCUUUUGGUCGGGGACGAUAAU
rnacentral:rRNA from 1 species